AGUAAAUGGUGAUGGAGGAAUCUCAAGCACUUAUAUUCCUGUAAACAAGGCCGUGAAAAUGAAAGAUUCCAGAUUUUUAUGUUUCACAAAGAUAUAUGGUAUUACUGCUAAUCACAACACUGUUUGAGACCUGCUGUUACAAGUACAGGAGAAAACACAAAACCUGUAAUGCUUCAUCUUUGUUUGUCCUUGGAUAUUUGUUUUUUCUCCAUGGAACCGAAGGAACAGGAGGGCUGCAGAUCUCAUUAUUGAGGGCCUCACAUGUUCCCAGCACUUUAUGCAAAAUAUCUUAUGUAAUCCUUUCGCAACCCUACAAGUUAGUAUGAUGACACCCAUUUUGCAGAUGAGGAAACUGAGGCUAAGAGAAGUUAAGUGACUUGGCACAGGUCAUGCAAAACAGCAGAGUUGAAACUUGUUAAAUGAAGAGGGCACUCACCAGACACCAGAUCUACACCCUGAUCCUGGACUUCCCAUCCUCCGGUACUGUGAGAAAUAAAUUUCUGUUAAGCUACGGAGUCUAUGAUAUCUUAUAGCAG